ACUCCUGCGGGAGGCAGCAGUGGGGAAUAUUGCACAAUGGGCGCAAGCCUGAUGCAGCGACGCCGCGUGGGGGAUGAAGGCCUUCGGGUUGUAAACUCCUUUCGCUAGGGACGAAGCUUUUUUGUGACGGUACCUAGAUAAGAAGCACCGGCUAACUACGUGCCAGCAGCCGCGGUAAUACGUAGGGUGCGAGCGUUGUCCGGAAUUACUGGGCGUAAAGGGCUCGUAGGUGGUUUGUCGCGUCGUCUGUGAAAUUCUGGGGCUUAACUCCGGGCGUGCAGGCGAUACGGGCAUAACUUGAGUGCUGUAGGGGUAACUGGAAUUCCUGGUGUAGCGGUGAAAUGCGCAGAUAUCAGGAGGAACACCGAUGGCGAAGGCAGGUUACUGGGCAGUUACUGACGCUGAGGAGCGAAAGCAUGGGUAGCGAACAGGAUUAGAAACCCCGGUAGUCUCAUGA
rnacentral:rRNA from 1 species